ACUGCUUCCCUCAAAGUAAGAGAGCCAAAAAAACUUCCUGUCUGGCAUAAUACAGAUUAGGAACUAAAUUAGCUGCUAUUAUAGAUGGGCAUUUUUCUAUUGAUUUCAGGGUGAAAUCCAUUAAAACUGGCAGAAAAGUUGGCUGCAUUUCCGUAGAGUCAGUGAAAUCAAAUAGAAAUAUGAAGCUGAGAAAAAGGAAGGAAUGUGUGCGGCUGUGUGAAGUAGAGUCCAGCUCAGCCAUUGGAAAGUGGAAUGAGGACUUUGCCUGCCUGUCAGAGAAGGCGCAAAAGAUGGUCCAGAAUGUUGAUUUCAUGCUAACUUUAAUGCUUAUUACUGAACUCCACUGCUGUGAAAUCAGGGUAAACUGAGGCUGUACUUCUUAAGUCAGUGAAAGGAAAUCUGAAAAUCCGGAGAGAAGAUCUGAGAUAGAAUAUGGAAAGCAAUUGUCAUGGUUAAGAGAUGGUUUUCCCCAUGUUCCCAAAACCCAUAUCUGUAGACCCACAAGGACAGCAGUGAAGGAAGUCUUUCUGGAGUCUUGGCUGCUCUGUGAGUUUCAUGAGAUUUCCAUAAAACUGAGAUUUCCUUUUCAAUGUGGGCUGUGGUUUUCUUUUCAAGAAGGACAUUGCUGAGCAAGGAAGAUGGCUUUUAAGUUUGCAGAUGACACUAAAGAACAAGUAGAACUAUGGACAUCAACAAGCUUCUCUCUCCAAGAAACAUCUGCUCAAUGGAGAAGGCAUACAGUGAAAAGUGUGUCUCAUAUGUUCUGCUUAUAUCUGGUGGGCUUACUUAAAAUAAGUAGCUAAACUUAUUUUAGUGUCCUGACACAGUGUCUCUUUGGUAUAAACACUAAAUACAAAUCAAGUCCAUCCCCAGCCUCUUUUGUGAAAUUAUGGCACAACAUUUUGAAGUUUUGCCAGUUUAACAUACAGGCAGAAGUGCUGUUGGCUCUGGCUUGCUACUGUAAAUGUAAAAUGUUAAAAUGGUGAGUAAUGAGAAAUGGAUGUAAUUCAAUCCUGCCCAGGAAAUUAAAGGACAUAACAGAGAAAGAAGGUAGGAAUAUGUAUCCUGGCUCCGGAGCCUGAUUUGCUUUCUUGACACUUGAUUCUUCUCUGCCUGGGGUCUGCUGAAAGUUACAGAAGAUCAAUAGCAUCUGAUUGCGUGUCCUAGAAAGCAGGGAUUGCUAGGUGGUGCUAACCACUGGUAAUUUGGUGUUGGUGCUGUAUUUCUGACUCCCACCCCCCUUCUCUUCACAUAGCUGCCAAAUUCACUUUAUUUCAGCAUUGGUUGGUCUGUGACCUUUUUAUCUAACUUGCUUCUGGGGUUUGCUAUUUUCCUUCAUUACCCUCCUCAUCUAACCUGCAUGCUUGUCACCAUUUACACAUCCUUCUCCAAAGGUAGGGAUCAUCAUUCAAACAGAGAACAAACUUGGCCAGCAUUAAGAGCUAAACAUCAGCUAGUAGGCUAAAAGUAAGUAGGCUGAAGAGUUAAUCAGCUGCAGCUUUUCUCCUUUCUUGAACAUGGGUAACAGGCAGCUUGUACAGCCCUAAUAUCCAAGGGAUGCUUGAGAGAGAAGAGAUGUCUGCUGAGGCUUUCACUGUGCUGUCUGAAAAGCUCUGCUUGCUCUUACCCUUCCCUGGUAUAUAUUUUAUCCUUCUUCCAAAUGUUUCUGUUGCUGCCUCUUCAAGAUUCUCAUGCUUCUUGGUUAUUUCCUUAUUUAAAUACUGCUACUAAUAAUAAGGACCUAAUCUUGGGUGCUUUUAAGGCUAUUAGUUUAUCUCUAUCAUCCUGACUUUCCUCAGCUGUACAGUAGCAAUAGAUGUAUGCCUUGCUGCUGCUAUUCCAUUCAGUGCAUCAAGUAUGAGGUAUUAUUAGUCAUAUUAUUAUUUAGAUAAGUAUAGAUAUUUUGUUAGCCUAGCAAGGUUUCACGCUAGAAGUUCAUUUUAAUUGCUCAAUAAGCUUAUUCUUCAGAAAUCCUCUUCUCCCCUGUAGUUUGGAAACAUAAAUGGAUUUGAGUGGCACACAAGCCAAAUCUGACUUGGGACAUGUCGAUAUGGAUAGAAGUACAAGUGGCACGUUCCUUCAUACUGUAUUUAUAUGACAAGUAAAGUCAAGAGAACAGCAGAGAACAGCCGUGUCACUUAUGUAGAAGACUUGUCAAGAGAUUCUCUGCUGGCACUACUAGAAAUGCACGUGAUUUCUUUCUGAUCCCAUCCAGCAGAUUUCUGUAGCCAUAUUAUGGUAUGCAGAAGAAAAGACUUGGUUUAGCUGAGGAGGUAAAUGAGACCAGAGUGUUCUGUCAGGAUUGAGAAUGAAGAAAAAUGACAGUACUCUAAGUGGAUUCAUGCAUCUUGCCUGGAACGAAACAUGGUCUUCUGAAAAUGUGACACCUGGUAGGAAUCAGAAAAGGCUCAUUUCCUAUAGCAUUUGACUUGGACCACAUUAAAGGGAAAGGCUCAGGACCAGCAGCAGAUGCAGGAGCCUUACUUAAUAAAUUGCUAAUCUGUCCUCAUUAACAAUGAAGUCCUUCCAGAGUGGAUAUUAAGACAGAGAGCUUUUGGCAUUUGUGCAGACUUAAGGGAACAUCUGUGUCUGUGAUGGCAGAAGAUUCAUUGUGUGAUAAUGGAAAUGAAGCCUCAAAGGAAAAUCCUUUUGCUGAUAAAAAAACAGAAAUGGGCCACAAGACCACUACCAAUGAGCAAGUUGGCAGCUGAAAACUGUAUUUGAUUUGCUCUGCCUCCUUGGUCUAAAGAAAGAAAGAAAGUUUGUGCUGGCUAAAGGAGUUUGGGACUGAAUAAGGAAAUGAGAAGACAACCUUAAGAGGUGAAUUGGGUACAUUUCCAAAGGAGGAAGGAAGGGACCAGCCAGAACUUUGAAGGUAAUAUUCAAAAAGAGACGCACAAACUGUGAAAGAACUACUGCAAGGGGAUUCUGUGGGCCUUAAAAAUUCUCGGGCAGUUACACCAUUCUUUUGAUGUAAAUCCGUAAGACUAUUUAAAGGGAUGAGCCUACCCAACUCGAUGUAUGCUCCUUGGUUCGUUUCCUCCACCUCUCCUGCACUCGCAGUGUGUAUUAUGUUGCUGAAUGGGAGUUGAAUCAAAGAACUGAGCUGCUAAAACCUACUCUGGGAGGUGGGUUGGGAUAGCCAGAAGUAUUGUGAAGAGGUGCUGAAUUCAGGUGAUCAUGUAACUGCAGGCUGGUGCACCUGGCUUUUCUGAGGAAUAUGUUGUUGGGAAAUCCUGGAGAACAAGCUCGUGUCUUUGCAGACAAUACUUUUAAUAGCUGCGCUUGGAAUUUUUCCUUGGACAAAAGAUGAUUAUUUGCUGAUGAGAUGACUAUAGUGUAUCUGAAGUGUCUUCCUAUGUCAUACAAUGCUAGAAUUAAUAACAUUCCUUACUGCAGUAAAUUAAGUAGAUCUGGAUUUUGUGUUCCCAUUUUUCAUGAGCUGUGAUCUUAGGUCAGGAGGAAGUUCAGAGGCUUGUUUCUUGGGGCACGGAAGUCCUUGCCUUUGCUGGAAAAAAUGCUGACUACCCUGUUUCAAUUCUCCUUAGCUAAGAACUACACCCCAUGCAUUUCAAAGCAUUGCAAAACCAAAGUUGUGUUUUUAGUGAGUAUUAAAAAUGGUGCAAAACUGUGCUCUAAUGUUUGGAGGACAAUGAAAACCAACUUGAACUGAAACAACCAUUCUGCAUUUCAAAACAUUGACAGCUCUUCAUGACCUCAUCCUGAGCCAAAAUGAGACUUUCUAAUGGACAAAUAAGUUCCCCACAGACUAUUAGAAGCAAUUGUGCAAAGGUUUUUUUCUCAGACAAAAAAAAAAGGGGGAUUCUGAUUACUUGGUUACUUUUUGCCAUUGUGAAAUCCCUUGAUCUUCUUUUCCUCUUUUUUCUUCUAAAAUGUGAAAAUUCUCUCUCUCCCUCUUCCCUCUCUAUUUUCUCUUUUAAUGUUAUAAAAUCGUCUUCUGCAUUUUCAAUGACUCCUAGGUCUGGCUUGUAAUGACUCACGUAAGCCUGGAAAAUAAUUUAGUUACAGUGCUUUCAGAAAGGUCUCUGGUGAAAUGAAUAUGUCUGUAGGAUGCACGUCAUACUGCUGGAUAGACAAAGCUGCACAAAACACAAAUUCCGUUAUAGAAGUAGUAGCUACAGCCUAUGGCAAUUGAAAAGUAAUGCUGUACCACCAUCGCAUGAAAGGACACCACUUCAUCUGUGAAAUGUAGCAAUCCCUGGGAACUGCCAUUGAUGCGAAGUUUUACUCUCCAGUGUGGUUUCUUCAAAUGAAAACUGGUGUAUCUGGAAGCCCAGGGAGAGGUGGGAAGUAGGAGCUGUAAUACAGAGGGAGAAGUGGAUGCAUUUUUCUCCUGUUGUUUUUGGAGAGCUCUUUCUCAGAUUGUUCUCCUUCUGUAGGAGUUUGUGGUGCAGACAAACCACAACAUGAAGAACUAAAGCUGGAUGUCCUGGCCAUUAGGACCAGCAUAGCAACAAGGACAGCUUACUGUAAAGAUACCACCAGGAGUCAAGGAA